CAGCAGGAUGGUGUUACCUUUUCAUUUUUCAACUGACAAUAGUGUCAAUUCCAGUGCCUCUCAUUUUACUGCUUUAACUGAGGGCACAGUUAAACCUCAUAUCCACCUGUGGCCCUAGGUUUGUCCCCACCCAGACACUGGAAGAUACCAUCACUGCAGCUCUUUCUGGCAAAACUUGAAGCUAUGAUUUUUCCUGUUUUAUCCUGGUUCCUGCUUCUGCCCUUGACUUACUCCAGCACCUGGUCCAGCGUGAGCUUCUUGUCUUCUCAGCCUGCAAUGUCUGCUCUUGACCUGUCCUGUGCUCUCGUGUGCUUGCUGUUUCUCUUGUCCAAUGCCCAGCCUGGACUUGAUGGUAUGGUAUGAAUCCACAACUGGAUUCAGUGCAGCUUGCGUGGUGAUUUUGGCUGUGCCACUGUAGCACAGUGUCCCAGAUCUCAGGCAUCAGCCCAGCCUUGCCAUAAGGACCAAAACAAGCUGCUAGAACACUGAACAUCCACAGCAGACCAGGGAUCUCUGCCCAGUAUGUGUUUCUCCAGCAGCAUCUGGCAGCCCCAGACUGUGAUCCCUCCUCCUCCCCUGGAGAUGACAAUGCAGAGGUUUCAUGCAGUGGAACUUUUGGGUAUUUCCAGACCUUGCUCUCUCCAUGCCCUGGCACCCAUCUUCAAUGAGGACUUCUGCAGUCUCCAAGGAGACAGUGCCUGCUCCUGCUUUCAUCUCUCAAAUGUCCUCAAAAGAUGAACACUGGAUUAAUUAAUGGCACCUUGGGAUAGCUGCUGAGGCGUGGCAGCCUCAUUAAAGAGGGGUCAUUUAUACCCACCCAGAAGAUGCGCUGCUGUUUGCAGCAGUUUUAACAUGCUGGUAUUAUUCUGUCAGCAAGGAAAGAAAAGAAAGGACCCAUUGUUGCAGCUACUGCUGUGGAAGGACCUCCCUUUGCCUCCUACAGACGCUGCUCACGGAGACACCCCCUCUGUGCAUGCUGCACGUUCUCCAGCAUCAUCUGCUCACGUUUCUAAAUCACCUCUGGUCGCUCCGUGUCUUCUGUGGAGCCCAAACUCUGCACUGAGCAGGGCAGGAGCCCCAGGGAUGCCCUCCAGCCCCAAGGCAGGCACUCAGCACUGGAUGCACCUCAGGCAGCCCAGGCAUCUCCCUGGCCCUGGACAGCAGCUCCUGUGAGCUCCUCGCCUCCCAUGCUCCAGCUGCCUGCCUGGAAAUUAUACCUAAGUGGAAAGGAGACUGAGAAGGACUGAGAAUUGGGCUGAGGUCCAGGAUACCCAUUUGUGGAGCUGUUGCCACAUUAACUUCCCUCCAAAGCCAGGAGUUUUGCUUCCUUUUGCUUUACCCAAAAUAAUUAAUGAGGCUCUUAAAAUGUAUCCUGCAUGUACUAAACAGGGAAGCCCAUAGAGCACACCUGAAAGAUGGCAAGGGAAAACAGGAUAUUUGAGGAGGUGCUAACAGUUUUAUUGGGUCUUAAUGAUUGGGGGGGGGGCAGAAUUUUAAAGCUGCUGGAAGACAGAAGAUUUCUUUUUCUCCACGUCUAACAACAUGCUCCUCCCAGGCACAGAAUGGAGGUGUGCAGCCAUUGGCAGGCCUGCACACAAAAAUAAUGCUGAAAACCCUCCAUUGGGGCCCUGCAGAAGAAGCUCAGGCAGCACUUUAGUGUGCUCCUACUGUCCCAUGUGCAGCAGAGGUACUGCAGGCUCCUCCUAAUUGCCUGCAGACUGGCUGCCUUCUGGGAAUUCUUGUUUUACAAGUUUUAAAGAAACAAACCCUCCACCAAACCAGCUCUCCAGAGAGUCUGGCAUGCUGUCAAUCCUGAAAUGUCUGCAGGCUUUUAGUCCUGUCUGAGACUCUGUGUGUGUGUGUGUAGAUGAUUAUUCAGUAUUUCAAGUUUACAAGUAUGUACAUGCCUCUCUCUUGAUAUGUAAGAUAGUCACAUCAGCUCUCCUCCCAUGUAGAAGCACAAGUACUCAGAGUCAACAGCUCUAUCUGAAAAAAAACUGGUUUUAUAGUGUUACACACAAUAUACAGGCACACGUAGGCAUACACACACAUACAGUGGACAAUUCAUUACAUUUCAUCAUCCAUACCUAACCCAUAUUUUCCUAGAGAGGCAUCUGACCGGCACGUGACAUAAUCCUCAACGCAUCCUUGGUCCAGCAAGCACAACAGAUGUAACUGUCUUGAGGCUCAACAGUAAAAAGCUUGAAGUACAACAAAAAUGCUGCUGCCUUAGCAAGAGAAACAUGCUCUAUGUAGCGUGUGCCUGCUUAUGCCAUGCCCUUGGUCAGGCACAGAUGCAGCUGCCACUGAUUCUGCACCUUGUCCAUUAACAAACCAAACACCAACCUUCCAGCUGCCGAGGAGAAUGAAAUAUUACACGGUGAAGGAAACUCAGAGGCUACUGAGGGUAGGAAAUAUGAAGGCAAAUAGUUCCAAGGACAGUACAAAGAAUUUCUUUUUUCCCCUUCUGGCUGGUUACAGUUGCCCCAGUAAACUUGCUUGUUAAAAAGAUUAUUUCUUCUAAUACGCAGUUAAUGGUCCUCUGCUUGGCAUGCUCUUGCACUGCCUUGUGAUUUAUGAACCAUUUCCAUUUUAGGCAAUGAAAUUUUGACAUGUGACAUGGGAUGUAUGGAACUGCUCUCAACUGCCCCUGGAGCUAAUUUUUAAGCAAAUCAGUCUGGAGUGUGGCUGUUGCCAAAAGCUUUAAAUGGGUGCAUCCUCUCCUUGGCAAUCCCUUUCAUGCUAUGUGAUCUCUUUAUGGGCAUUAGCUGCUUGGGAUGCAUAAACUUCCGUUCGUUAUUUUCAGCAACUGAUAUUUUCAAAGAGGAAGGAGAUGCUAAGAAGGAGAUCAUUAGUUCUGAAGUAGUGGUAUGAGUGACUGACAUGCAAAUCAGCCCUUAAUAUGGUUCAUCUGGCUCUCUGAAGAUAUCUCCAGCAUCAGGAAGCCCCCAGGGGACACACAGCUACUGGAUCUGCCCCCACCACCUGGGGGCUGGCAUUUUGGCAUUCACGCCGAGGCGGCAGCUCUCAGCACUGCUGGAACAGCCCCUGGCAUAGGCAACUUAAUUUAUGGCAACCAGCAAGUUUCCUCACUUGCAGCUAAGAUAUGGCCAGCACUGCUCUGCAGCAGCAGGGAGUGGCACAGGGGGCCAUGGACCUCUGUGUGUCAUGUGUGAAAUAGUCUGAGCUUUUGAUGAACUUAAUAAACGUAAGAUUUUCUCAUUGCA
rnacentral:lncRNA from 1 species